rnacentral:rRNA from 1 species
AGAGUUUGAUCCUGGCUCAGGAUGAACGCUGGCGGCGUGCCUAAUACAUGCAAGUCGAGCGAACGGACGAGAAGCUUGCUUCUCUGAUGUUAGCGGCGGACGGGUGAGUAACACGUGGAUAACCUACCUAUAAGACUGGGAUAACUUCGGGAAACCGGAGCUAAUACCGGAUAAUAUUUUGAACCGCAUGGUUCAAAAGUAAAAGACGGUCUUGCUGUCACUUAUAGAUGGAUCCGCGCUGCAUUAGCUAGUUGGUAAGGUAACGGCUUACCAAGGCAACGAUGCAUAGCCGACCUGAGAGGGUGAUCGGCCACACUGGAACUGAGACACGGUCCAGACUCCUACGGGAGGCAGCAGUAGGGAAUCUUCCGCAAUGGGCGAAAGCCUGACGGAGCAACGCCGCGUGAGUGAUGAAGGUCUUCGGAUCGUAAAACUCUGUUAUUAGGGAAGAACAUAUGUGUAAGUAACUGUGCACAUCUUGACGGUACCUAAUCAGAAAGCCACGGCUAACUACGUGCCAGCAGCCGCGGUAAUACGUAGGUGGCAAGCGUUAUCCGGAAUUAUUGGGCGUAAAGCGCGCGUAGGCGGUUUUUUAAGUCUGAUGUGAAAGCCCACGGCUCAACCGUGGAGGGUCAUUGGAAACUGGAAAACUUGAGUGCAGAAGAGGAAAGUGGAAUUCCAUGUGUAGCGGUGAAAUGCGCAGAGAUAUGGAGGAACACCAGUGGCGAAGGCGACUUUCUGGUCUGUAACUGACGCUGAUGUGCGAAAGCGUGGGGAUCAAACAGGAUUAGAUACCCUGGUAGUCCACGCCGUAAACGAUGAGUGCUAAGUGUUAGGGGGUUUCCGCCCCUUAGUGCUGCAGCUAACGCAUUAAGCACUCCGCCUGGGGAGUACGACCGCAAGGUUGAAACUCAAAGGAAUUGACGGGGACCCGCACAAGCGGUGGAGCAUGUGGUUUAAUUCGAAGCAACGCGAAGAACCUUACCAAAUCUUGACAUCCUUUGACAACUCUAGAGAUAGAGCCUUCCCCUUCGGGGGACAAAGUGACAGGUGGUGCAUGGUUGUCGUCAGCUCGUGUCGUGAGAUGUUGGGUUAAGUCCCGCAACGAGCGCAACCCUUAAGCUUAGUUGCCAUCAUUAAGUUGGGCACUCUAAGUUGACUGCCGGUGACAAACCGGAGGAAGGUGGGGAUGACGUCAAAUCAUCAUGCCCCUUAUGAUUUGGGCUACACACGUGCUACAAUGGACAAUACAAAGGGUAGCGAAACCGCGAGGUCAAGCAAAUCCCAUAAAGUUGUUCUCAGUUCGGAUUGUAGUCUGCAACUCGACUACAUGAAGCUGGAAUCGCUAGUAAUCGUAGAUCAGCAUGCUACGGUGAAUACGUUCCCGGGUCUUGUACACACCGCCCGUCACACCACGAGAGUUUGUAACACCCGAAGCCGGUGGAGUAACCUUUUAGGAGCUAGCCGUCGAAGGUGGGACAAAUGAUUGGGGUGAAGUCGUAACAAGGUAGCCGUAUCGGAAGGUGCGGCUGGAUCACCU